AAUCCCGUGAACCAUCGAGUCUUUGAACGCAAGUUGCGCCCGAAGCCGUCAGGCCAAGGGCACGUCUGCCUGGGUGUCACGCA
rnacentral:rRNA from 1 species